GCAUUCGUAAAAUAUACGCAAUAAAUAUAAGCUGGAAGCAAGAAAGGAUAUUUGUUUUCUUUCUUACACAACGGAUCUAAUGCAGCACAACUUAAAUGAGUAUGUUUUAUUUCCGUUUAUUUCGUUAAAUAAACAUGCAGAUAGAAAUAUUAGGGCAAAGUACAGAUGUUGCAGUUGUAAAAACACUUCUCUUUCUAUCAUGUAAACAAAUGUUGUGAGCCGCUGGCUUUCCUUUUGUCUUGUGUAUAGCUUCGCCAAGCGUGCAGGGGCGGCGCUAGGGGUGUAUGUGGGGG